GAGUUUGAUCGUGGCUCAGGAUGAACGCUAGCGGCAGGCUUAACACAUGCAAGUCGAGGGGCAGCGCAGGUAGCAAUACUGGGCGGCGACCGGCAAACGGGUGCGGAACACGUACGCAAUCUACCUUUAUCUGGGGUAUAGCCCGGAGAAAUCCGGAUUAACCCCCCAUAAUAUAUAGGAGUGGCAUCACUCAAAUAUUAAAACUCAGGUGGAUAAAGAUGAGCGUGCGUCCCAUUAGCUAGUUGGUAGGGUAACGGCCUACCAAGGCGACGAUGGGUAGCUGGUGUGAGAGCACGACCAGCCACACGGGCACUGAGACACGGGCCCGACUCCUACGGGAGGCAGCAGUGAGGAAUAUUGGUCAAUGGACGCAAGUCUGAACCAGCCAUGCCGCGUGAAGGAUGAAGGCCUUCUGGGUUGUAAACUUCUUUAUUGGGGAAGAAACUAUGGUUUCUACUAUAGCCGACGGUACCCAAGGAAUAAGCACCGGCUAACUCCGUGCCAGCCGCCGCUGUAAU
rnacentral:rRNA from 1 species